CCUACGGGAGGCAGCAGUGAGGAAUAUUGGUCAAUGGCCGGGAGGCUGAACCAGCCAAGUCGCGUGAGGGAAGACGGCCCUACGGGUUGUAAACCUCUUUUGUCAGGGAGCAAGGUGCAGGUCGGGACCUGCUGUGAGAGUACCUGAAGAAAAAGCAUCGGCUAACUCCGUGCCAGCAGCCGCGGUAAUACGGAGGAUGCGAGCGUUAUCCGGAUUUAUUGGGUUUAAAGGGUGCGCAGGCGGAGGCACAAGUCAGCGGUAAAAUCGCGGGGCUCAACCCCGCUCCGCCGUUGAAACUGUGGCCCUUGAGUGCGCGAAGGGUAGGCGGAAUGCGUGGUGUAGCGGUGAAAUGCGUAGAUAUAUGGAAGAACACCAGUGGCGAAAGCGGCUCUCUGGUCUGUAACUGACGCUGAGGUUCGAAAGCGUGGGUAGCAAACAGGAUUAGAUACCCGUGUAGUC
rnacentral:rRNA from 1 species